GAAUUUUGGGCAAUGGGCGCAAGCCUGACCCAGCAACGCCGCGUGAGGGAUGAAGGCCUUCGGGUCGUAAACCUCUGUCGGGAGGGACGAAAGGCGCGCGGGUGAACAAUCCGCGUACUUGACGGUACCUCCAAAGCAAGCGCCGGCUAACCCCGUGCCAGCAGCCGCGGUAAUACGGAGGGCGCAAGCGUUGUUCGGAAUCACUGGGCGUAAAGCGCGUGCAGGCGGCUUGGCAAGUCGGGUGUGAAAUCCCGGAGCUCAACUCCGGAACUGCACCCGAAACUGCCUCGCUAGAGUCCCGGAGAGGAUGGCGGAAUUUCCGGUGUAGAGGUGAAAUUCGUAGAUAUCGGAAGGAACACCAGCGGCGAAGGCGGCCAUCUGGACGGUGACUGACGCUCAGACGCGAAAGCGUGGGGAGCAAACAGG
rnacentral:rRNA from 1 species